rnacentral:lncRNA from 10 species
ACUGUGUUUGGCAUCGCAGUUCCGACGGCAGCCGCCGUUUCGCGACCCACGGCGGACUUGCAUAAACACUUUCUAGUUGGAAUCUCACCCUGUGAGGUGGGCAAGGUAGUGAUAUUCCUGUUUGACGCCGACAGAAAUAAGAGAGAUUGACUCUCAGAACCAUGUGGCGGGAUUUUAAAGGAGGAUCUUAACAGUGGCUCGGACAGACCCGUGUUUUCUGCUCCUAGCAUUAACUACGUCGUUAAACCCUUCUGAAUUUAUUUCGUCUGUGAAAUGGGGAAAAGAUAGCCACCUUGCAUAACUGGUGAAGAAUUCGUAAACUGACAGCAGAAUCUAGUAAGAGGACUGGCCCGUGGUCGGCUCUUAAUGGUGUGUAUGGGGCUAUGAACAUUCCCAGGUCUUCUGACCUCUAGUCUGGGACUCUUUCUGCUAAACUAGGGAUUCUUAGAGGUCCAGAGACUUCGGGAGAUCCAGGGGCAUCUUCAAGGGGGUCCCUGAGUUCUAAACUGCAGAGGAACACUCUUAAGAGAGAUAAUAAAUAUUUCCACCACAUCUGUUAUGGAUAAUAUAUAUUUUGUCAUCUAUUUGCCAGAGACUGUUGUAAGUGCUUGUAUACAUUAAGUCACUUAAUCUUUACAGUGAACACUAAGGUACAUCCUAUUAUAAUUCCCAUUUUACAGAGACGUUAAAUACCUAUCUAGCUAAAAAAUGUGGGAGCUGUUUUACAUUCACGCAAUCUAGCUGAUAAAGCCACACACCUUAAUGUUUGUACUAUAUAUUAUUGUGCAAGAGGUGUAUUUGAUAAUGAUUCUUGUGUCACCAUUUACAAGAUGCUUCUGGCUUUUAUUAAACUCUCAAAGGGCAGGAAAAGAAAAAAAAAUACAGAGGAACCUAAACCCUAAAUCAGAGACAGACUACAUGCAGAUAUACAAAUGGAUGAUAAGAAACCAAAGUUGUGGGUACCAUGUUUGCAAUUCCGUUUUAGCUGAGUGCUUUGGACUAUCACGUCCCUCAGUGGCUCCCUGGAGGAAGAAUGAUUGAAUGACAGGAUAGGAAUGGAAUGUAGCCAUCAUCUUAUCUGACCACACAGACACCUCCCAGCAGAUGAAUGCAUCACCUCCUCAUGAUAAUUUUGAAGACUUUCUGAGAAAGUGAUAAUAUUAGCCUAUUACCUCACAACCACAAGGAACACUACAGUGACUACAAACCCUAUGUGCCUCAUUCAACAGGUGUCACAGAAUAAAGAAAAAGACUGGGAGAGAGAUGGGAGCUGAUAGACCAGAGGAGACCAAAGACUGAAACUGAAGACUAAACCAUGGAAAUUGGGAACAAGCACUUACUCGCUUAGAGGGUGAAAAAAGUGAAUUUGCCUACAGGGCCAAUUUGGAAGCACCUCUCCCUGGAAGCCAGUCAAUGAAGAGCCAUUGGAGGAUUUUAAAUAAGGAACCGAAAAAUGGAGUCUGAAAAUAGAGGCGCAGAGACCGGUAAGUUGGUGGUUGCCAAUCAGUGGUCCAAGGAAAAGAUAAAUGAGCAGAGCCGUGAUCAGGACCAGAGAGGAGGCAACAGAAAAGAGAUGCUCAGGAUACAAUCGAUGCGCUUCGAGAGUGACUGGAGGUGGGGCACUGUAGAAUAAGUGACAUGGAGAGAUCUAGAUUGACCUCUGGGCCUACAGCUCAGGAAAAUGGGUGGGAGGUGGCAUUCAGAGAGACCAGGAGCACUCCUUAUCUUUCAGAGCCCAACACAUAAUCACCAACAGCUGACUUAUGAAUAAGAUCUUGGGGUCCUUGAAACACCGAAACACUGGAAUUUUUAGAAUUUUACAUUCUUACUGCCCAAGAAAACCCCUUGCAAAG